rnacentral:lncRNA from 11 species
GCUGUCUGGACACUUCAUUUUGUGUAUGUCGUAGACUUUACAGGCAGAGAUUAGUUUCUUUGCCUCCUGUUGAAAUGGUUCAAAAAUAGCCAUGUCACCAAACCCAAAUAAAAAUGAGUGACAGAAGAAAAGGUAUUUGAAGUCCACACAAUCCACUCUCAGGCUGUUAGAAAGAGAGAACGUAAAGGUGAAGGCAGCACAUUUCCACACUAACUCCAGAAAGCCUGGUGGAAGAAGCUACUUCUGUAUUUAUUAAAAAAAUGAAGAGAUAUACUGGCUCCAAACGCCAUCAUGUGGUAGUCCAUGAUGCCCAUGGCUUGAAGAAUUUCUGGGAGGAAAUCAUUGAAACACACAGCAAGAGAAAGCAAGUUGAAGAUUCACGAUUGACCAGAAGUGCUUUGAACAAGCUCCGGUGCGAAUGGGCUCAGAGACUGGAAGGUCGAAUAAAGAUGCUUCAGAAGACAAGCGAAAAGCCCAAAGUAGAGGGUAGCCUGCUGCCAAUUGAAACUUUUCAGCCGAUGCAUAAAACAGCAGCCUGAAAUCGUUGCUGAAAUGAAAGAGGGCUUAUCGUUCUCAUGACUGAAUCUAAUUUUGAUCUUGCACACACCGUUAUGAAUGUGAACAGAAAUUCCAAUGGCAUCUAAGGUAUAAAUGAGCAGGGAAGAGAGAUCAAACUCAGUUCAUCCUUUACUUCAAAGUUCAGUAUAGCUCAGAUAAUCACAAAAUCGUUAUGAUUAAGAGUUCCAAGCUUAUGGUUUCAACUAAAAGUAUUGCUAUGUCUCUGUUAGCUUAUCACACUGAUCAAGUGAUAGCUUUAUCAUACUUACAAAGAAAAUAAUUCUUUAUUGCCUAUGUGAUGAUGAUGAUGAUGACAAUGAUGGUGGUGAUGGUGAUGAUAAUGCUUGAAUUUGCCUUAUUUCCUUGUAUCCCUGGAAUCCCCUACCCCUCACCCCACAAACUGUGGGCUUCUUGAAGCUGAAGCACCUACAAUUUUGAGAAGGUCCAGCAUCUUCUUGCAUAGCCUGUGUUGGAAAUAACAAAUGUUCCUUUAGAAUUAGUUUUCUCCAAGUUGAAUUGUCUACUACCAACCCUCAUUUCAGUAAAUCAAUCUGUUAAGAAACAUCUCAAUUUUCCCCUUUAAAGUCUACAAUUCUAAAGUUUCUCAUUUUGCUUACUAUUCACCCAUUGGUCAACUAUAAGGUGUGUAUGAAUUAUAGCUUAUGGGGGUGGUGACCGAGGAUAUGUUAUGAGAUUCUUUUUAAAUAUAUAUUUAAAAUUAAUUUGUAGCAGAACCUUGUGCUUUGCGGUGAUAUGUCGUACUACUCAGAAGUAAGUCUCAUUGACUCCACCAAAUUUACAUCCAUGUAAGUGUAAUAUGCACCCAGGUUAGGAAAGCUUUAUGCUAUGUUCCUAUAGCUGUUUACCUCAGAGCAAGCCUCAUUCAACAUUCUUCUGAGUAGGCCUAUGUAGCAGUGGUCCUCAACUGUGGGUCCCCAGAUGUUUUGGCCUUCAACUCCCAGAAAUCCUAACAGCUGGCAAACUGGCUGGGAUUUCUGGGAAUUGUAGGUCAAAAUACCUGGGGACCACAGGUUGAGAACCACUGCUAUAUAGGAUUGAAAUGUAAGGCUGCAUUCCUGAACAUGUAAGAAAUAAGCCCCAUUUAUUUUGCUAAACCAUAUUGCUAUAUUGCUAAACUGAUUAGAAAAACCUCACCUCAACCCAGUGUUGUGUGAUAGCAUAAUAUAAAAGAUAAAUGGCAGUAGGUGACAAAGAGGAAAACUGAGCCCUUGAAAACAUAGAAACUAUUUGGGAGUGAAGAAGAAACUUAUAUUUUAUGGUAAUUUGUUGUAUAGGGGUUUAGGAGGGAGUUGUAUUAUUGGGAACAUAUAAAGGAAAUGUUAUGUUUAAACUUCUUCAUGGUGUUUCACCAGCUAAGAUGUUACUGGGCUUUCAUAUUGUUCUUAUUCGCAGAAUAUGCUAUUUUAAAAUAAGAGAUGUGGUGUUUUGAAAUGUAAGGUGCUGAAUAUGGUAUCAGUACAGUUAUACUUGAUGCAAAGCCCAUAUUCAUAGAACAUAGCAAUGGAAGAUUGGUUAGUUGUGCAGGUUAUGUAAGGAAGCAGAAGAACUUUGUGGGACUAGGGAUAAUAAUAAUAAUAAUAAUAAUAAUUAUUAUUAUUAUUAUUAUUAUUAUUAUUAUUAUUAUUAUUAAACUUUAUUUGUACCCCGUUAGCAUCUCCUGAAGGACUCGAUGUGGCUUACAAAGGCCAAGGCCUCAACACACAAUAUAACAAUACAAACAAAGGCAAAUUAAAAGAAUUAAAACAGCAUAAACCACAAGCAAUAACAAUACUCUAGAACACAAUAGAACUGGGCCAGGCCAGAGUAAUGGGUACAAGAUUAAAAGUGCUGAUGUGACAGGUGAUAUAUAAGGCUUAUAGGGCAAGUGCAGAGUGCGAUAUGCGAUCUUAAUUCUAAUAAAGUGCUUAUGGGACUUGGUAUUGGAGAUUUCCUAUUAAUCUGGGAAGGCACAUUGGAACAGCCAGGUCUUCAAGUUCUUUCUGAAGACUGCCAAUGUAGGGGCCUGUCUGAGAUCCUUGGGGAGGGUGUUCCAGAGUCGGGGACCCACCACGGAGAAGUCAGGCACCGGAGAUCUGACCAGUAGGUAUUACAUAAAGACCUGUGAAAGGAUAGAAAUGAAAAGAAGGGUAGGCAGAUAGGAAGCUGGCAGGCAGGCAGGCAGGCAGGCAGGCAGGAAGGAAGGAAGGAAGGAAGGAGUUUAGUCCUAAGAACAAUGUGAUUAACCUUGAAUGUAAAUGUUAUUGAGACUGAAGAAGAGAAGUUACAAAAAGGAUGAAAUGUCACUUGAUCACUAAUCACUUGAUAGGCCUCUAAAUCAUCAGAGAAUAACAGACAACUGAAUUUGCAUCAUCUGUAACACAUCUGGUGAGCACAAUUGUCUUGAUAUAACCGAAGAGUAAAGUGCCCCUCCAAAACUAUCAUUGGCAAGAACAUCACAGAUCUGUCAUUUGGAUAUUAUCUCAAAUGUCAUUGUUCUUUUGGGAUGUACACCCCUCAGACUCAGAACUCCCCAGCCAGAAACACCAAUGCGCUUAAUGACAAAAUGUUCUUCAUUUAGUGAUAGCCAGAUUUAAGGCAGAUAAUUUUAUGUUUUAUUUAUCAUGUCAGAAGGGAAUUGAGAAUACAAUUAUAAUGUAUAAAAAAACCACAAACAAGGUUUAAAACUUGGCAUUAUACUACAUUUCCUUUGACCAGAAGCUGACCAUUUUGAGUACCUCUGGUGUUGCUGUAAGAAGGUCCUCUGUUGUGCAUGUGGCAGGGCUCAGACUGCACUGUAGUAAGUGGUCUGUGGUUUGCUCUUCUCUACAAUCACAUGUCGUGGACACCAUUUUAUAACCCCAUUUUGUAAGGUUGGCUCUGCAUCUCGUGGUGCCAGAGCACAGUCUGUUCAGCGCCUUCCAAGUCACCCAGUCUUCUGUGUGCCCAGGAGGGAGUUUCUCCUCUGGUAUCAGUCACUGAUUGAGGUUCUGGGUUUUAACCUGCCAGUUUUGGACUCUUGGUUGCUGAGGUGUUCCUGUGAGUAUCUCUGUAGAGCUUAGGAAGCUAUUUCUUGAUUUAAGGUAUUGGUUUGCUGGGCUGGAGAUGUCAAUGCCUUGAUCCUUUCAUUACAGACUGCUACGCACUUCCUGACAGAUAUCAGGUGGUGCAAUACCAGUUAAACAGUAUAAUUUCUCCAGUGGUGUAGGGCACACACAUCCUGUGAUAACAGCAUGCCUCAGGCAGAGAAUGAAUGGAUGUGACUGCCAUGUAUUAGAAAAGAUUAUAACGAAAGCAGAAAUCUCCAGGGCUAUUCAAGGUUGUUUCAGUGUACAUGAUUCAGUAUAUUUUAUCAUCAAAGAGAAAAAUACUGUUUUGACAAAGGUGUGGAUUACAUUAAAAUUAGAGUCAAGAAUGUCUGUGUAAGUGAGCAGAGAAAUUAAUGUUUGGCAUAGAGACAGCAAUGCAAUUUAUCAAAACAUCCAUGAAAAGCUAUGUCGGAUGCCGAUUGCAAUCCUGGAUUAAUCCAUCCAGAGUGGCUGCAUGAAAGACACAUUUUUGUGGGACUUGUUUUCAUCACCAUCUUGGCAAUGCACUUGAAAGCAAUCAACAGAGUGAUUAAGAAGAGUCUAUAUAUGAUUUUGUGCAACUAUACUGUCUUCUUCUUUUAAUAAAGUAUGAUGAGCAA